ACAGAUCUUGGCUGUGUACAGCAGUCUUCUACCCAGGGCAAGGUGGGGUGUUGGUGUAUAGAUGUUUUUUAUGUGUGUAGUUUUCCUGCUCCCUCCCCUCUAAAUCUCUGUCUGACCAACCUGCUCCUCUGCUCUGCAUACACUCUGUGUCAUCUGGUGCUGACCAGGGCAAUCCUGAAAGAGCAGAGCUUGUGAAUCCACUGCUCUCAGUGGGGGUACCUGUGCCCAAAAUGUGUGCUUCAAGGUGGGGGAAUGUCUUCCCUGCUUCCUCAUGCUGAAGUGGGAAUCCAGCUCAGAAGAGUGUCUUCAAGCAGUGAUGUAUCAGUAUUUCAAAAGGCAGUGUACUGCCCAGGAUUUAGAUAACAGAGUUAUGUCCUUGUCCCUAUAUUUAUCAGAUUUUUCCACCACAAGGAUGACAGAAUGAUAUUCUCAGCCGCAAUUUUGAGGGAGAAUCAGUACAAGAACAUAUGAGCACAAAAAAAAUAAAUGCUUUCAAAAUCACCAGAAUGUUUUGUGUGUGAAAAAUGAAUCACCUCUGCUGGGAAAUAACUCCCAGUACAUGUGAGGAAAUUUCCAGAAGCUGUGAGAAUAGAAUAGCACAAACACAAACCAGCAGACAUCUCUUAGGUAUGAACACAGCAGAACCUCAGGGAAGAUGAUCCUAUGAGAAAUUGUGGAUGCGGGUCUCUUUCAAUAGAUAAAAUAUCUAUUAGAUAUUUUAUCUCUGUCAAUAGAUAAAAGAUAAAAGCAAACGUUUCUGGAGAUGGAUUGCUUUAUGGGGAAAGGAAAGUAAAAGCAUUUCUGUCCCCUCUUGCUCAUUGAUUUCCUGAACAAGCGCUGUCAAUUCCUGGGCCUCUUCAUUGCCCUUCUAUUAAGUUUAUCCACAUAUUGUUUAAAUUGCUCCUCUUAUCCAUACAGGCACUAUGACUACUCUCAGUUAGCAAUUCCACUGCCUCCAUGAGCUGGAAUCAGAUGCAGAGUUUGUAAAAACUCAGCACCUGGGGAAAGGUGCUGCCCUCCCUUAGGGGUAAGAGAAAUGCAAACUGAAGCACAGGGAUCUGUGCUCUGAUUUGAAGUUACCAGAUGGAAAUGUGGUGAUAAAAGGAAACAUCUCCUCUAGAUGUAUCCCUGCAUUGGCUGGUGUAUAAACUUCAGUGGAGAAUAGCACUUUAGUUGUGUUUUGGCACUCAAAUUGUUUACCUUGAUAUAUUGUAGUAGAGCUUUCCUUUUCAAACCAGAAAAGGAUGUGAAAUUGUUUCUUAUAAGAAAGAAAGCUUAUGCUUUUAAAAGAUUUUAGAUUAAUAACUGUAUUUAUCUACCUUCUGUUUGUUUACUUCAUUUUUCUUCUUCUCAUCCUUUUUGUAGCUAUGCUAUUAGAAAUAUUAUUAGAGGUAUAGAUCAGUGCAAAUACUAAUGCACCUGUGGUUCCUGAUGUGUGACUAGGCAAGGCUUUCUUCCUUCCACUUUUAAAGAAAUUAUUUUAGUAAUUAAUUUUAGGCUCAUUUCCUUUCUGCCAUUCCCAGUUAUUGGCUUCUAUUCAGGAGGGUGUAUUUGCCAUAUUCUUAUAUUUCCAUAGCAACAUGGUCAGUUUGUGUUUUCAUUCUUAGUGUUAAUAUGGUUAUUAAUUGUUGGGUGGCAGUGUCUAAGGGUUUCAGCCUAAUCAGGCUUCCAAAUUCUCUUGUUCUAAGUGCUGUACAGUCACAAACACACAUUUCAUGCCCCAAAUGCUUUACAUUUACUCCUUUGGGUUAUUGUACUGGUAAGUGAUACCUAAAUUUGCUUAUUGGUUUUGUUUAUUUUACAGAGAUCUUUUGAAGAGCCAGGUGCUACACUCUUACCAGGAAUCAGUUUCUGUCCCAUGUGGUAUCCCCAGGUAUAAGUUUUUACACUACUUACAUGAAUCUUAAAGUCAUCAGAUGAUUUAUUGCUUCUCCUGAAAAUGCAUAUAAGUGAACACUGUUGCUGGAUGCUGAAACAAUAGAGGUAUGUUUGUCUAUGUUUGAAAUCAUUGUUUAUUUCUUUAAAGCUACAGCUGCUAGAGAAUGUUCACUGCAUUCUGUUUAGGAGUCAAAAGGAAAUUAAAAAAUUAAACUCUUUGUCAGCUAGACACUUGAUUCAGUCCUUUUUUUUUUUUUUUUUUUUUUUUUUUUUUUUUUUUUUGUGUGUGUGUGCCCAUAUUGUUUUCUUCAGUAGUCCUUUGACAGAAGUUGCCAGGAAUAAAAUACUGGCAGGGAAAAAAAAUCAAGGACACUGUAGGGUCAAUAAUAGCUUCCUUGAUUUGCAGAAGGGAAAGAAAAAGGAUUAUGUUAGUUUUAAAUUAAGGAUAUUUUUGCAGAUAAAAAUUAUGUGCAUUUUAACACUUUUCUGUCUUUUGGUCACCAGAAAGGUUGCUAUUUUAUUCUUAGAUAUAAGAACAUUUAAUAUUAAUGUAUACAUGGCUUUACACUGCCUAUUGAUUCUGCUGCCACCGGAAGUCUCUGGGCUUUGAUGACAAUGGGCUGCUCCUGACUGUGAUGCAUUGGAGACUGAGCAGGGGUUUCAAAACUUCUUCACUCAACUCUUCUCUCUUUUUUGGGUUUUUUUUUUUGGUGGUUUUUUUUUUUUUUGUAUUUUUGGGGGUUUUCUAUUUUGUUUUUUUGUAUAAAAGGUGAAAAACUAUUAGUACUUACACCAUUUAAUUUGUUCUACUCCAGGUCUUCAGCUUUGAUUCGCUGUAAUUGCAUUUGAGAAUUGAAGUCUCUUGUACUUGUAUUAAUACAAUUUUUAACUUCAGUUUUUUUGUUCCUAGCAAGCAGAUACAUGCAGAAAAGAAACUAGAUUAUAGUACUAAAACUAUAAUCUGAAAUUUGCAGAACAUGGAUGCUAUAAUUUGCAACCAAUUGAAAUCUUUGUUUCCUAACAGUAACUAUUACUUGAAAACUGUUUGUAGCAUCAUUGGCAUGCAAAUGUACCAACUAGCAAAAUUAAAAAGGUGCUUAAUGGAUAGAACUUGUCUGAUUUUUAUGCUCUUCAGGUUUUUGGAUAAUUCCCAAAUGGUGGGAAGGUUUGUCAGAAUAUGCUGGAGGUCUGUAUUUAAGUUCUGGAAUUUAAUCCUCCUUUGUUUCUUUUUUUCCUCUAGUCUGACUGAUUCCAUGUUUGGAUAUACUCUGUGCAGUGAGAAUCCUCUUACUCUGAGCCAAAACUCAUCAGAGGCCAUUCCAACACUUGCAAAGACCUUUGGGUCAUGUUGUUUUCCUCCAAAUGGUUUUAAAGGUUAGUAAGAGUCUUGGAUAUGACAUAGAAAUUUACUUCCUCUGCAGAUCAGGAAAACAUUGAGUGUACUCAGUAUAUCUGCUGCAUGUGAGAGCCUUACCGAGUUUUCAUGCAUCUCCACAACCCUCCUUUGUAUUCUUCAAAUGCUCAGUUUGCAAUAAAUUGAAAAACGUUCAUAGGUCUUUGGGCCAAGAGCACUCCAAAACUUCUUGGGUCCAGCGUAUCUAAAUAUUCAAGAGGGAUGUCUCUGCUCCCUUUACAAUCCAGAUCUAAUCUGCUGGUGUUUUACAGUUCCAAACUGAAUGAGCCAAUUUAAUAUGGAUCUGAGAAAGAGGGUAAGGCUGCUUAAUGCCUGGGAAUUAAAAAAAAAAAAAAUCCACGAGGUAGAGUAACAAUUAAAAAAAAGGGGAAAAAAAUCCAAACAACCAAACCAUUGCUUUGGCUUGCACUUUAUCUCACUGCUACCAGCUCUUUUUAUACUCAGAUUAGACAGGCAGCAUGUUGACACAGCCCAGACUGCAUGUUCUUACAUGAAAAAGAAACAUUUUUAAUUAAACUCACUUGCUGCUUUUUUCAUAGUGACAAGCCUUCUGCAGUUUAUGGUGUUAUUCAUUCUAUUGAAAACUGAAUUUCUUAUCUUUUUUUUCCCAACGAGGAGCUUUCAUUCUCAAACUUAUAAUUUUCUUUGUCUGCAGUAUUUGCUUUUGUUCACAAGAACAGUGUAAUAUUAAUGUUCCUUAGUUUUCCCUAGAAAUUAUGCAUCUGGUGAUUUUUCACAUCACCCAUUGAAGCAAGCCCAGUAAGCCCAGUGUUCUCCCUUUUCCCCUCCUUUCCAUCUUCAGCCUAAGGUACACACAUUAUCUAGUGAAUUUAACCAAUUAAGUUACAUCAAAGUAUUACAAAUUGCAAAUGUCAUAACUAAGAUUAAUACAAUAUUACAGCCAAAUGUUCAAUUAAACUAUUAAUAGGAAUUAUUAAAUGGGAGAAAAACUAACCCACCCUAAAACCCCUUUUGUAUCCCACAAUGUUGGUAAGUAAAGCAAGCAAGCUGAAACAUGGGCAGAAUAUUUAUGUCAUUGUAUUUAUUCCACCCUUCUAACUCCUGAUUAGGGAUUAACAAUGAAAGCAUCAUCUUCUUGGCUUCAUUUAUUUAAAUUAUAUUAACUCUUUCUUGGAAACAUUUUGAUAUGACAGUGAUGUUACCAGUCCCUCUCUGCCUUUUGUAAUGAAGUAAACAAACCCAAAACCACUCUUAGCUGUGCAAAGGCUUUUGAGAAAAACAUUUUGUAGGCUGUCCGACAGCCAGGGUAACUUGAACUGCCAAGUUUCAUUUUUCUUGGAGAAUCUGAAGCAAAUGCAUUGCAAAGUUGUUCAUUUAAUGCAAGUGUGCUUCUGGACUUAAAAGUUAAUGCAACCCCAAAAUAGUAUUGAUCAGUCAUAGUCCACAGACAUGUAAACAGGGAGGCAAGGCUGGGCAAAUAUGCGUUUGCAAUUUCUCUCCUUAAGUCCAAUUUUUAUAAUUUAACAAAUGUUUACUAGAGUUUUAAUGAUCUAAUAAAUAAUGCCAAAAAUUCCUAUGGAGCUAAUUUUCUAAAGCAACUGGGGAUGAAUAUUUCAUUUAGUCCUUUGUUGUAUCACUACUCAAAAUAACAUCUCCUAAUUGCCUCUAAAUACGGAGGAAAUCAUCACCAAAGGCACUGGGUGAUGUUCCUGCCAGAAUCAACUUCUUGCUUAGGGGUCCAGGCACCUCCUGGCUUCAAGGGUAUUACAUCACAGCAGCUUUCACUGGCUCCAGUGUCUCUGAGCAAUUACUGGUGAUGUUUACCACAGACCUUCUCUAGUCACUUGUAAUUGUAUUUGGUUGGAGGCACUGUGCUGUUAAAACAUUCUUUAGAGAACAGACUGAGGUCAGGCACUCAGGUGCUCAUCAGGGAGGCUGUUUCUGAGUACAGGCAGUGGGAGCCUCUUCUCUUGCUGGCAGCAGGAGUGUGCUAUCUUUUCUUGGGCUGCAAGAGGUCCCAUCUGGAAAGGAGAGAUUGAGCACCACACAGUGUAUUGGGGCAGUCUCAGCCAUUUCAUUAGAAAGGUAAUUUCCAUGUCCCACUCUCCCCACCUGUUCAGUCAGCCUAAAUGUUGAGACUUUGAGGUCUGGAUUUCCAGGGAUUCUUUCUCACACUUCCAGUUUUCAAUCAAACAGGAGAUGGGGCAGUGGUAUCCAGUAGAUGCAGAAGAAGAGCUGUCAUUCUGCAUGUGUCACUGGUUUUGCUUUUAAGCUGGUUUUGUGGUUGCAGAGGCGGCCCAGUCUUGACCUCUGCUUAGGCUCAGUGCAUAAUUGCAUUGUUUCUGCUGUCCACACUGACUGACACCAUCCUAGAAAUUGUUUAAGUGGCUGCAAUCCAACUUCCCAGGACCUCUGGAAUAUUUCCUGCUGAAAUACCAUUCUACACCCUGAACUGACCAAAGCUAGCCUUUGCUUAGGAUCAUUGCUGAUAUCUUUUAUCUUAAAUACCUCUGGAAAACACUGGGCAUACCCCUGGCAGCAGGGUUUUUUCCAGUUACUUUGAGGCACUGGUGCUGUCAUCCUGCCACUGGCCAAAUUCUAUCUGCUGGUGAGGGUAGUUUUGCAGAACUGCUGGAAAGUGCCCAAGAGGACAGAAAAUGGAAAUCACACUGCCUCACUCUUUCCUCUCUGAAACAGGGUCUACUUUGCCAGUCAUUGGUUAAGUAUUUCCACUCUACUGCUGCUGUUUAGAGAAUGACUCUUAGCCCACUAAGCUUUCCAGAGAGAAAAAAAAAAAAAAAGGUAGGUGCCAGGGAUGGUGGGAGAGGGAAAAAUUUAGCUCUAGAUGCCUGCUUGACCUCACUUUCAGAACUUGUGCUUUAAAUAUCAAAAUAAUAUUUAUCUGAGCUGUAACUCAGAGGAGAUGCCCACCAGCAGGUUUGCAGCUGCUGCUUGGGAAGCACAGGAAGGAACACAGUUUCCCAGACACCUUUGUGCCCAUGGUGCCAGUUUUCACUGAGGUGCAGCUGAGCAGGAAGCUGAAAUUCUUCAGGCCUAGGACACCAUUCAGAAAAAGUAAGCAAAGCAGCAGCAUGCCUGUUGGUGAUCCCUGUAGAUGUUUACCAAACCAGCCUCUUCUGAAGGGAAAACCCGUUGAUUAAAUUUAUUCUCUUCCUUCUUCUUUGCUCUCCUGAAGAUUGCUGCAGGCUAUGUUUUUUAAAUUAGUCUGUUAUUUGAGUGAAAGCAGUGAUGGAUCAGAGCUGGAGUUCUUUCUACUUCCACUUCAGAUAUUGUUUUAAAGAUUCUUGCAUUGAUUGAUUUUUUGCAAUAUUGUGUAUAGUUCUCUCUUGUGUAGAUGUUAAGGCUGCAGUUAUUUCAUGCUGUUUUGGAACUAAAGCAAGCUGCAGCGCAGCUAUACCCAGUAUCCUUGUUAUUCUUUUAUUCACCCGCAGGAAAAUAAUGGGAAUUGUCCUCAAAUAAACAUUUAUUCUAGAGACCAUUGCCAUAUGGAGAUCACUGAACAGCCAGGAGCCAUUGUUUAUGAGACAUUAUUUGAUUUUUUUAAUUUGAUUUCUUCUAUUUAAAGCAGAAAUCUAUGAAUGAGAAAUCAAAGAAAACUUUAUUUCAGAAGCACCUGAAUAAAAUAGAUUUGAAGCAAAAUAUUUUACUCAGCAGCUGCUCCAGAGUUGAGUAAAUAUUUUACUCAGAGCUGCUCUAUAAGAUUCCUGUUUCUGGCCAUGAGGUCUGUGAAGCAGCAAAGGAGUCCCUGGUGUGUUUGUCCCAUGGGCAUCCCUGCUGUAUAAAUUGCUUCAGGGCAGCCCAAAACUUCCAGCUCCUCCAUUCCAGCUCUCUCAUGGGAGCACUGGCAUUUUUAGGAACCCUCUUUCAGGGUGUUAUUACUCUAGAGGCAGGAGCAGAGUGUGGUCAGGUUCUGAACCUUGAAUUCAUUAACUAGAUACCCAGGGACCCAUUAGAGUGUUCCAGAAAUCAAAAUCUCAAAGUAACUGUAGUAAAGUGAAAUGUCAGACUUACAUCCUUCAUUACUUGCUGUAAGGUUUCUGCAGACAGCAUUUUAAAUUAUUUAGCUUGAAACAGAAUUUGGAUGCCACAAAUGGGCAAUGUUUACACAGUCUUAGACAUACUCGGCAUAGCUUUUUAUUUGCAGAGAGAUUUAUAAAACAAACCAAUUACUUCCAAACAUGACACAGCAGUAUUGACUGAAUCCUUCCAACUCAUGCCUAGCAGGCUUGACUUUGGUUUAAAGCGUAAUUCUGAAGAAUGCUUUCAUUUGGGUUUUCUUUCCUGUAGUUAGGCUGCAGGUAUCUGACAUAAAUAUUCCUGAGGUGAAUGUUACUACUCACAGUUCCUGUAUUGUCACUGCAACUUAUUCACCUUUGUGUACUGUGGGAGUGCCAAAAAUCCAUUGGAAAUGAUGUGAGCAUUUUCUCACAAUAGCAUUGUACAUCUAAUUCCUCUCCUCCUGGUGACAUUCUCAGAUGUGUAAAGUGACUGGGUCUUUUCCAGGCCAUUCUGUACAGCUUAGAGAAAUCUGUCCAACAACUCAUUACUGAGUUACAGUAAGCACAAUACACUGAUUAGACUAAUAGUUGGCUUGGACUAUAACUUACAGUCUUUCCUACUUUGAUUAAGAUGCAUGCAAUAUGGAGUGUAACAGCCCCACAAUUAAACAGAUUCUUUCUUAGAAAUUGGCCAGCAGGGAUGGAUGAUCCCCACUCAAAUUUUUUGUUAAAACUUACACAGAGAUGAGAACUGCAGUCUUAGUUUCUUUUUUUUCUUUUUUUUUUUCUUUUUUUUUUUUUUCCAGAGCUAAGGAAUAUGUAAACCUCAGGAUAUAUUCGUGUGUCUCUGAACUUUAUUGUUUUUGUGUGUGUUAAAAAUUUGGAUAUAGAGCCAAGUUGUAUUUACACUACACAGUAAGACUCAGAGACAUAACAGUACUGAUCUCUGUUGAUGUCAAGAAAAGGCCUGCAAAUGCCAUAGGACUGAACUCUGAUGAAUUUGGGACCCAUUCAUAUAGUUUUGGAAUUUUCAAGGGAAAAUCAUUGUCUUAAGGAUAAGAAUUCUACUGACUCCAGAAUGUAAAACUGCUGCAUAUUAUCAUUCUUCAGAUGAUGAUGAUUGAGUAUAUAAUUUUAUUUAUCAAACUGGAAUGUUCAUAAGACAGCUAGCAAGCCUGCUUCAGAUUGAUUUGACCUGCAAGAAUGUCUUUCACCUAUUUUUUGUUUAAUGGCUCAGGACAUAUUUAUUCUCUUCAUCUUCUGGUAGUUUUCAUUUUGAUUCUAGGUACAAAUGAAGAAACAAUCUUCCAGUAGAAAAUCUGAUUAGCCUGAUAUAAUCUAAGGACUUGAACAUCUAGUCUUGACUUCUCUGCAUGGUCUCACCUCUGUAUGAUUUCCCAGCUGAGCUGGGCUUAUGCUUCUAAGCUAUCAAUGCAGAGCAGACAUUGCCAAGAAACUAAUUAAUAAUCUACAGGGGAUGGGUGUCUCCUCAAUUUCUGUUCUUUAUACACAGUCCUGCAUUUUAGUGUUGUGUCCUUCUGUGAUUUUCAGCACAUAGGAUCCAGUUUUAUCUUUGCAACAGUUACCAGGUUGAUGAUUCCCCAUUGUUCUGGAGAGGCUAAAUAUUUUCUUCUCUCUCCUGGGACACUUUUACUUACUAUCUUUUCAAGCUGCUUCUUUGAGCUGAAAUCCCUGCGGAGAGUUCUCAGAAGGUCAGGUCUGGUUGGUUUUUUUAAAUGCAGUAUUCAGCUAAUUCCCAGUAGUUGUUUAACAUUUGAGAUUUUUUUUCCCCUUCCACUUAGGCCGGCUCUGGCCAUUUCUGUUACAUUUCAGUCAUGGGAAUGCUGAAAAUCUGGGGUUGUUUCCCAGUUUGCACCAAGAGUGGGUUGUGAUAUGGGUGUUCAUCAGAUGCAGAUGAGUCUUGCAGAAUAAGCUUUCUUCACCUCUUCUGGGAUUUCUAGGCCCUGGAAGCAUCUCUCUAGUAGUGUGCACAGGUGAUCUAAAGACAAAUUGCCUUUAGCUGCUUAUGUACCAAGCCAGCCACUUUGAUAUCACAAUAUCACAGGCCAAUACAGAGCCAGGUCUUGGUUUUAAGCCCAGUUGUCCUUGGAAGAGUGACAGCUUCUUCAAUGGCAGGUUAAAAAAAAAAAAAAGAAAAGAAAAAAAAAUGAAGAAACAAAACCCAACAACAACAAAACCAACCACCAACAGACAGGUUUGAACUUUUGGGGGUGAUUCUUGUUUUUGUUUAGGCACAUGACACUCAUUUCUUUAAGGUAAAAUAAACUUGGGGGUUUUCAUCGUCUGCAGAGCAUAUAAGACUAUAGUACAUUUGGCAAGCAAAUUUCUACUUCUAAGUCAAAAACAAAUUAAUUUAAAGACCUACAUAGGGGAUCACAACUUGAGGAGGUAAAAUGUUGCAGUUGUCUGUGUCUUCAUGCUCUGUGAUGGCGUUUGCAGUGCCCAGGAGCUGGAUGUACCUGCUAGUGUCCCAGAUGCAGCAUGGACAGACUUCAUACAUGGAUAAUCCUGGACUAGUUACUUUGAUGUUGACCUAGAGAAGAGUGUAGGCUUGAUUUUAAGUAGAGCUGUACUUGUGAAUACAGCUCUGUGAGUAGGUUUGGCAGAUAAUGGCCUUGUUUUCCUCCUUCCCCUCCUCUUCAGUUGAAUCUAAACUCUCAGCAUCUAAUGAGCAUCUGCUUGCUCUUCUUCGAACUCUAAAAUUUCAAGGUAAGUACAAGUUUGCCAUCAUGGCAACUUUUGGAUUUAAUGAAUAUUACUGACACUGAGACUGAGGCAUCAUGAAGGGAAACCCAGACAGACACUGAAAAUAUAAAUUCUUUGUCAUGUUAAUGUUCUUUCUCCUGCUGUUGUCCUUUUCUUUCCCCACCUGCACCUCAAACUCCCACUCCAUAGAGGCUUCCUUUGUGCAUGAUUAGUCACAGCUCCUUCCUGCCAAAAUAAACCUACCUACAUUUUUAUUGUUGUCAUAUCUGAGUGCCCUGAAAUUUUCUCUGACUUUGUCUUUGAGCAGUUCAUUCCUUCUCAUUUCUAUCCUUCUUCUUGCUGGUAGAAGGUGUUACACAUAUUACAGGGUAUGAGAGGCCAGGAGAGGUCAGUGAAAGUUGCAUGUACCCUUUCAAUCAACUGUUUAUUAAUGAUAGGUAACAUUUUUGCAAAGCUGUGCUCAAUAUGAAAUCUUUUCAGGGAAGCUUUAGAAACUGUGUAUCUUUUACGCAUUUUUCUUUGCAGAGCUUUAUCCAGCAAAACUGAAAUGACUAACAAAAAUAUUUCAUCUUGUAACUGAAAUUUCAUCCAUCAUGUGGUUUUGAAGGCAGCUUAUGGUUAUGAAAGUACUGCAGAGCUAUGUUGCCUUAGAGAAUGCGAGAAAAAAAGGCCCAUAUUUAACUUAGAUAAUAUUUUCUUUUAAAUAUUACAAAAAUUUCUUCUCGCUUCCCUCCCAAGAAACAGCUCUGAGUGUUCCAACUGACUUGCAAAUAGUACUUGGGCUGUAAGAGAUAGAAAGGAUUGACACAAGUAAUAACACAGCUACAGAAGUCUUAGUCGUAGACUAUAAAAAAAUUAAAUGUGUCUUCAAUUGUAGAUAGAAGUGAAAUCUGCACUAACAUUUUUUAAUUCAUACAUCCUUUUUAUCAAAGGAGCUUAUUGCUCACAGGUCUUCCAAACGUAGGGAAUAUGAUCUGAGGUUAUUAAGCCUUUCAGAACACAGACAUAAAGCCUCCUUGUGGACUCCAAUACAAUCUACGAAGCUCAUCUGAGAGUACUGGAGACCUCUGGUUGUUGCAAGUUACUGCCAGAUGACUGAAUGGAACAGUCACAGAAAGGAAUACUUAGGCAUGAAUAUUCUUGCUGCUGUUUUUCAGCUGGCCCAAAGGAUGCCACAGAGGCAUAGAAUAAGCUGAGGUGGAAGAGACCCACAAGGAUUAUCAAGUCCAACUCUUGGCCCUGCACAAGAGUGUCCCAAGAAUCACACCCUGGGCCUGAGAGUCCAAAGACUUCUUGAACUCUGUCAGGCUGGUGCUGUGACCACUUCCCUGUAAACCCUGUUCCAGUACCCAAACAUCCUGAGAGUGAAGAACCUUUUCCUAAUAUCCAACCUAAACCUCUCCUGACACAGCUUCAGGCCAUUCCUGACCAAAUGGUCCUGUCACUAGAGAUCAGAGAGAAGAGAUCAGUGCCUGCCCCUCUUCCCCUCACGAGGAAGCUGCAUGUACUUCAGACAGGGUGUGUGCAGGAAAAAUUGCUGCAUUUAGUAACAAUUUUGUCUGGUUAUAUUUUAGAAAUAGAUGGGAAAAUAAAAUGAGAGACCAAUGUCAGGAAUAAAUCUUGUGCCUUUCUGCACAGGAUCUGCCAUCUCUCCCAGGGGUAAGUAGAGAUUUACCUAGUGGAGAGAGAGAGGUAAGUAAGGAACUACCCGGCAUUGCCCCGAAUUUAAAACCAUCAGAGGUGCUCCGGGAGGGCGGUGGCGGCCCCAGGGAUGCUCUCCAGGCCGGGAGCAUCUCCCGGGGAAGCUGCCGGGAGCGCUGGGCUUCGCUGGCCGCGCAUCGCCACCUGCUGCCAGGCGGGGAGAGGAGCCCAGGACCCGUCCUUGCCACCUUGGCCGCUGCCAGGGCAUCUGCCCCUCCGCUGUCCCCCCUCUGGCAGCCCCGAGUCCCUCCCCAGGCCCGGCCCCCGUGGGGAAACGCUGCUAAAAUGCCCGGAUAAUUUCAAGGGGUAUUACAGGUAUCAGCUGUGGCUAAGGGGGCUGCUGGUCUUGGGCUCAAAAUUGGUGCUGGGUUUGCUGGUUUGUCCUCUCAGUUUAAGGAUCUUUUUCCUCCGUUAGCUUUGAAGCUUGUCUUCUCCACCUUCAUUCUGUGUCACCAAAUUUCGUUUUUCCCUUAUAAUGUAGGGAAAAAGUGGAUUUGGCGAUGUGAGAAAUAUAAACAUAUACAUAUAUUAAAGCAUUUGGUGAAACAUUGCUUAAUGUUGGAACAAAUCCCUUAUUUUCACCUACGUGAUCUUUUCCUCUUUACAAAAAGUCAUAAAUGGUGUAAUAAAUCAAUUGAAAUGAAGAAAAAUUAUGUAAUUCUUCUCAUGCAUUGCAGAUUGAUGGCACAUCAAUUCGUCAAGUGAAAUUGAGACAAUCUGACUGCAAGAUGCUCAGUCUGACAGGGGUAGGUGGCUCAUUCCAACUACCAAAACCACUCAGGAUAUUUUUGCUUUGUUCAGAAAAAGACAAACAAGCAAACAAUAAAAAAAUAGCCCAGUACUUUAGCAUAUUAAAAUAAAGAAAUCAUUUAAGCUUUGGGAUAUCUAAGGGAAUCACUAGAACCAGAAAACACUCCUGAGUUUUUGGAUAAAUAGAAAAGACACCCAAGACCUUAAAUACAGUCACUGAAUGGUUAUUUUUGCCAAAAGUAUCUGAUCUUUGAGAAUCAAGGAAAAGCUCUUUCUGGGGUAAAGUAACUACCUGUUGGAAGACCAGCUGUGGGUAUAAAUAUAUUUAUGCAUUGAUAAUUGAUUUUAUCUACAUAAAGAGAAGUAUGAAAGAUCCUGGUGUUAAUUGCACUUCAAUUUGAGCACAUUAAUUACACUAAUUAGAAAAUCAUCAUGAUAAGUCUUAUUGACAAGUAGCAACAUGUUUUUAAAAUACAGUAAUGAUUUUAUUUUUAUAUUAGUUUUCUAUUAAUGUUUCUUAUGUUAAGUAAAUAAUAAUUUUAAAAAUUUGGUCUGAGCCCUAGAAAACUUCACGUGUGGUAAGUUAGCUAUGACUACAGAUGUUUAGCUGGAAGGAUUUCCUGGAAGUGCAACAUUAGCAAAUCUUCUCUCUUUUAAUCUGGCUGAAGGUCCUGUAAACACCUGCCAGUACAAUGCUCAGUGCCCACUGCAGAACAAGCUUAGAAUAAUGGUCAGUAAUGUUUCAUACACCCUUUGGGAAAUGAGAACAAAAGAAACCUGUUUGGACUAGUUGUAUAAGCACAAGGCUACAACAGAAGACAGUUGUAUUGUGCAGAGCUAAACAAAAGAAAGAUACACUUGGAAGAGAUUAAUUCUAGACUCAAAUGAAAUAAGAAACCAUCACCUGUAAAGAAUAUUAUUGCUUGAAAGAGAGGUGCAUCUGUUCAUUGCCUAGAGGCACAAACAAGUAAUAUUGGUGGUCAAAAAUCUGGUUAUAUAAAUAGAAUUAAUCAUAGAGGGAGCAGUGGGGAAAGAGCCAUGACUUUUCAAGACAUCUACAUAGUAUGUAAUUUGUACAUGUACCUUCCUAUUUAUGUACGUCCUCCAUUAUUAUAAUGACAGGUAAUGAACUCAAUUUAUAAAAGUAACAAAAAGCCAAAUUAUUUUUCAUUCCAUAACUUGCAAGUCUUAAAGUAAUCAGAGCAUUAAAUUUCAAAGAUUAAGAACUACAAAAGAGCUUCUACUGAAUUAAAAGAGCUUUAAGUAUUUGCAAUUACACUCUCCUCUGUUUCUGUUUGUAAGUCUGUCUUUUACAACUAAUUGGAAACUACUUUUUUCCUCCAUACAGAAGCAAAUAAGAGAAAUGGCUUCUGUUAGAUACCUUCAUGAUUAAAGGUGAGUGGGAUGAACCCUGUCCAUGAUGAAGAGUGAAUCUGCUAAGUGAAUGGAUGAUCACACACUCAGGGGGCCUCCAGGGAGCUGGGUGAAGGUCACCAGCACAUCGUAGCUUGUCUUGCACUAGGGCACUUUUCUCAAGAUCAGUCUCCAAACAUUACAGAGGUUUAGUAGUUGAAGAAAAAAAGUCAUUAAAAAAAGUUUCAAAUAAAUAAACAAUAUUGCUUCCCCUUAUUUCAGCUUAAGCUUGUAAGGAUACAAGUAGCUACAGUUAAAUUCAUUAUACACCUUGUACUGUUGGGUACCAUCUUUUAUUCGCAUUAAGGCAGACUGUAAAUGGUCCCUAAAAUGUAGGCAUAUCCAGCCUGAAGCACCUGUUAGGGUCCCCCUGUAACCAGUGUCCUGUCCAUUCCUUGGUUUCACUGGUGCUGGAGCUGUGACUGAAGCAUCCAUGCACACAGACAUCCCUCCUCCUCCAGGAGAAGAUAAAGUGCUUGCACACAGAAGGGCACUUUGUGCUCUUAACCCUACCCACAGUCUGUCAUUUUCAGGUAGUUUUGGCUGCUCAAUUGCCCAGUCAUCAUGAGCCUAACAAAGUGGCAGGGUACUUGUGUUCCCUGGGCAGAGCUAGAUGUGCUGUCCUUGACCACUUGCUGUUCUCUAUUUUGCUUUCUUAGUUGUUUUCAUUUCACGGCUUUACUUUAAGUGUAAUUGGGUUUUGCUUUCUUACUGCUGGAACACCAAGGAAUGGAAAAGACAUAGCAAAACCAGAAUGAAAUAGCUGUUCAGGAAUGAGACUACAAAGUUCCUUUUCAUUUUAUUUUUUUCUGUUCUCUCCUAGAAGGGGUUCCUACCAGGUAAAGUUUCAAGAGCAAAAACACCAGCCUGCACAAAAAGCAGUUAGGGCUACUCUGUGAAAAUACAUUCAUCUUAGAAAAUCUCAUUUUAAUAUAUAGAGAAGCUGUCAUUUGAGCCAUUCAUAGACCCGUGACUCUGGGUGUUUUGCUGUUGGCAGAUCACUUACUCAUGGUAGUUCUCUUGUGGAAAGACCAAAGGUACAGUAUUGCAUGGCUGUGUCAUGGUGUGGCAGAGGUCUUGGAACAGGACCUGCAACCCUCACCUGCAGAAACAGCAUUGCUGACAAAGGACAGCUGGUGGUUUAUCUGGCUGUAAAAAGUCUGUGCAUAUUGCUACAGAUAGGAAGGCUGUAGUUUCUGUGGCUUCAAACCUGCCUCAUCUUCGGCCUAGCACAAAUAUUUGUGUAGUCAGGUGAUAAGUGAGACUCUGGAAAACUCUGGAAAAAUAGCCUUGCCAAAAUAAAUGAAAAGAUUUAUUUUUCAGUCUUCUCAGGACUGCAGAAUAUUCACAGAAAAGCUCGUGUUAGCAAAAGAAGCAGUGUGGAAACAAACAACUGGGGAGAAGGGCAGGAUUGCCUCUUUUGGUGGCUGUGCUUGCUUCAGUAGGCUGCAUGUGUCAUCUGAAGUAGCCAAAGGCUACUCAUCUGAAAAUGUUUUUGAGUCACUGCACAGCCCAGCUUGAUUCCCUCUCCUUUGGAAAAUACGACUCGGGCUGUCAGUGCUGUUAAGGAAUCUAAACUUUGCAAUGUUUCCCCUGUCUAAAUCCUUACUUUGGGAGGUAAAUCUGGGGAGAAAACAAUCAGACUGGAUGACAUGCCAUCACUGUUGGUUGUGUUAAAGUCCUUGUCAGCUUAGCAUGCAGGGAAACAGGCUCCUUGGGAUGUUUGGAUUUACCUGCCAGUGGAAUUGAAAUGGGAGCAGGUUUGUACACAGCAUGAUUUGCUUUUGGCAGCUGCCUCUUAAGGCCAUGAAAUCUGAACUUGUUCCUCUUGCUGUAAUGUUUAGGACUGGGUUGCAUGGACAUUUCUUCACUGAAGAGAAGGAACUGACACAUAGACAUUGGUCUGCUCUGAUGUCAAGGACUUUGUGAGAUAUUUGCAGGAAAGCUGUGACAUUAACUGUGUCAUUAACACAGAGGUACUGUAAAUAUGAAUGGGUUAAUGUCUGUCCACCACAAAAAAAAUAUUGUUUCACAUGUACUGAUGGGAUAAAAGCCUAUAUCUUCCUUUAGAUAAGCACGUCUUUUUUCUUGCUUAGACUAUAGAAGUGCAUGUUUACAUACGGCUCUUUAAAGUGUUACUUUUUAAAGGUGCUCACCACCUCAUCUGUCUGACCUGAGAGAUUACCAGUAUGGAAGGAAAAACAUAGUGCUAGGAAGGUUUUACUGUAUGACAUUGUGACCAGACCAAAGGUUUCUGCUGAUGUUAAUCCUUGUUAUCUUGUAAUAAAUAUCAGCAAUGAGCCAAGCACAAAAAUGGCUGACAUUAACUGGAGCCAGUCUAACCUGAUGGUCAGCAGUUUUGGCAGAUCUCUGCAGAAAGAUUGCCAGGGGUGUGGCAAUGUAUGCAAACUGCAAUGGCAGCAGCAGCAGCUGGGAAAGCCACUGCAGUGCGAACACUGACAGUGUCCGAGACAGACUGUAGACAUUGAUAAUGAAUUAGUCUGGGAUGAAGAGAUAAAGACCUUGUAAAAUUACUUCAGAAGUCAGACCAAACCAUUCAAAGGGAAGCAGUACCUGCAAGGGGUGUAAUCUUAGCAGGAAAAAAAAUCAAGGUCGUUCUAACUUUGCAGCAAAGAUUUUCUUGUUUCAAGAAAGGCAGCAAAAUACUUUGUGUGUGAAGCAUGUCAGAAAGGCUUUGACAAAAAUUGUGAAAGGAAAAGGCUGUUUACCUUGAGCCACUGAAUAGGGACAGGACUUGCGAGUCAGCAUUCCUUAGCUACAUUUAUGAAGGGAAAAGUGUGAUCAGAAGUGACAGAGUUACACAAUUUAUCAGCACCCACCUAUUAUUAACAGUGGCAACUCCUUUGCAAAUUGGUGGGCAUUGUGGCCAGUGAAAAAUAAAGGACACACAAAUACAGUGAGACAACAGGCAGAAGUGUACUCACAUAAGACUAAGCUUGAGCUGUGUCCUCAGCUACCUACUAACCAAAAUUGAUAUUUAAUAUUCUAGUCCAAUAGUGAUGAUUUCCCUGUUACCUUGAGAGUUUAUGGUUUAAUUGUCUGAAUAUAUAAAAGCAUGCAAAUGUAAAGAUAAGGCGUGAUUUGCCCUCAGCACAUCUCCCCAAACAUAUGUUCUCAGUAAAAAGCAAAAAUUCAAACUAAGUUUAUGUUUCAGAGCCUGAUUUGACACUUGAUUUUUCCAGCACGUUCCAGCCAUCAACCAAAAUAUAUGACCUUCAGUUGUCUUCAAAACAACCUGUUCAGGAGCUUUACAGAUUUUCAAUGAACUUUAAUGAAAAAUGAAAUACAUAUUCAACUGCUGCCAGAUAAAGUGGUUGAUGCUGAAGAGAGAAACUCACUCCUUCUUUCUUCUGAGGGAGGGUGUAUUUUCAUAGAUGGGGAUUUUCCAAGAGCUUUCUACUUCACACGCAGGUGUGACAUCUAAGAAGCCAGAUGAGUGCUGAGCUGGAGGAUGUGGAACAAAAAAGAAACAUCCAUCAGAAGAGACACGUGCAUAGCUCUGAACCCAUACUGGUUUCAUGCUGGGUCAGUCACCAUUAAGUACAACAGUUGCCUCAUGCAUAUUCAGUCAAGCCCCUACUGUGUCCUCAGAGCACUUGAUAGUUUUGGGGUGCUCUUGCCUUAAUUUGAAGUUCAUUUGAAAUAGGUUAGAAAAGGUGCUUUUGUUUGUGUGUUUACAUGAAGAAAUACAGCCCCAUCAAGUGUCACCCUGGUGCAGAACAGUGCAACAGGAUAUGUCUGAGAACCAGGCUGCAAAAGAGCACCAGAACACUUCCCUGUAAAGGAGCACAGGGUAAGACAAAGCUAUUUAUUCAGUACAGAAAGAUUUAGAGCAGGCUAAGCUGGAUAAACUAGAAAAUGUGAAAUUAUAUAAAAUUAGGUGUAAGUGUUAAUCAAGAGCUAAUUUCCUUCUCUAAGUGACUGACUCACAGAUGUUCUGAGCCCCACAAAAAAGAGACAGGACUUUGUGAGGUAACAACAACAGCAUUACAAAACCUGUGUUACUGUUUCUUGCAUUUUAGUGUAAUUCAUGCAUUUUAUUUUUUGGAAAGCAGACCUAGAGAAAGCAAAGUGUUGCUACACUAGAGAGUUAGCAGUUUCGCUUAGUGACUGAGGUGACCGGUGCAUCAGGCCAGUCUAAGGCUGCACAGAGAGAUACUAGUGUGGAGGCUUUUAUUAGUCUUUUCUGUUUGAAUACAUGAAUUUUCAUGUAGAAUAAUAGGAAAUUUCAGCACAGAAAAAGGAACUGGGCAACUGGUAAUAUGAGCUAAUAGAACUGGAGAGGACCUCCAGUCAUUUGGUGUUACAACUUUCCAGGAUGAACUUUUUACUGUAGUGUUAAUAAACACUGUUUUAAUACCACUCUGGUAAAUUAUCCUCAUGCUUCUAUUAGAAGACUAUUCUGGAAGCUCAGACCUAGCACUGAACCCUCAAAACACCCAAGUGAAAUUAAUUUAUAACAGGUUGAUGCCUGUUUGAUUUGCUGCCAGUACAGUCCAGUAGUUUUAACAGCGUUCUCCAUUUGUAGCAGCUACCAAUCUGCAAUUUUCCUGAGGAGAAAUCCUACCCUCUUCUAGAUUUCAUUUUGCUAGCUAGAGAAGCUAUGUGCUUUCAAUUUUUUUUGCUCAUAGACUGUUUGCAGGCAAGUAAAAUUGCAAGCAAAAAUACAGUGAAAAAAACUGAGAAAGAAUUUCUCAUUUCUAUAAAUUUCUAUGCAGUGAGAGAUGAGUGAAGGGGGUUGUUUCAAAGGAAGUAAGAACAGAGUAGAAAAGGAAACAAAAAUGUCUGGACAGAGUAGUAUGAGGCAAUAUGCAGCUGAUAUAUUUGGCUAAACCUUGAUAUAUAAACCAUUCUUCAUAAAAUUGGUAGAUGCAGAAUUGUGAAGAACUGUUUUUUUCAUCUUUGAAGGAGUGAUCUGCUUCUUCUGCACCAUUUUGGGAAAAGCAAAUUUCCAAAUACUUGCUCAAAAGACUGCAGUGAAACAAAAAGAUACAGGUAGAACUAGAAAUAGUUGAUGUUUCUUUGUAGAAAACUGUUUCACCAUCAUUCCUGUAUUCACAUGUGCUGAUGACGAAUUUGUGAUUGCAGACCCUGCUGGAGGUGAUGAUGUCUUUUCUGAUGUGAUACCGGAUUCCUUUUUCAUCCAUAGAACACCAGAAGUCCUUUCUUGAUUGCUUUCCAUUGUUCAGAAUCAGGAAACAAAAUAGCAAGCUGAUUUAGUACCAGUGCUUGUUGCCCUCUCCAUGUUUGUGCUAUGGCCAGAUUACUCCACAGCAGGUCCCUCAAGUUUUUUUGAAGAUGUAAUUUGGUGUAAGUGCAUGAACUUGUGCAUUUGGGCUGCCAGGUCUGACAAUGAUAAGUGGCAAAACUCUCUAUGGCUCAAAUUAAAAGGAGACAGGCUGGGGCAUGGACUCGGACCCUCCUUGGUUUUCUGCAUGUCAUGCUUCCAAAAUUGUUGAUAUGGUCCUGUAAUCAAGCUGUACCCUCUCAUCAUACCUUGUACUUGGAUCAACAGGAAGGAGUUACCUGGGUUUUUUUUCAUUGCUUGAAAACCUGAAGAGAAUAGAAGAAAAAUUAGGUAGUUUCUUUUUUGGGUUUUUUUGGGGUUUUUUUAAUAUGUUUUGAUUAAGCAAUAAAGGUUAUAGAGGGCCUUCUAACCUUAAAAUAAGUGUCUGGGGGAAAAAUGCAUUAAAAAAAAAGAGGAGUUUUUAAAAUAUUUUUGAAGAGAGAUGAAAAGUACCUAAAGUGCUUGUGCAAAUGCAAAAUAAAAAAACAAGUCCAUAUUUGGGAGUAAAUAUAUCAUGUAAAUAGAUCCAUUUCACUCAGACUUAAAUUUCUGAUUUUUACACAGAAGUUAACUACCUCUUAAGCAAAUUACAUUUCCAGGCAGAAGGUGUGUCACAAAUGUAAAACUAACCACGUGCAAUUUGCAUUUUGAGCAGGUAGCAUAAAAGAAAAAUUGCAUUUCAAUGGCUUAUUCAACCUUUGUCACAUCUUUUGUAGCUCUUUUGACAGCAUCAAUGUAAUACCAUUAUCUUUUGUAAAUGUGCUAUUUUCCUCUGCAGUUAAUAUGAAGAGUUCACAAGAGAAUAACAAAAUUAUCUGAAUAUGCCUUUUGCAGACAGUGUUUUAUUCCACCACGAAUCUGCUUGCUGGGUAUAGAUGGAAAAGUGUGAAUUUUGCUCACAGUGAAUAUUGAGCUUCUGUGAUUUACCAAAAAACCCAGUAACUACUUUUGUUUCACAUAUACUUAAAUGCAUGUCAAGCAGAGCAAAGAAAGCCAUUCCAACCUUUCUGCUUUGAGGAGCAAUAAAAAAUCCUUGACUAUCCAUAUAUGUGGAGAGGAUUCCUAACCUGAACUCUUGGUUGAAGGAAAUUGGUCAUUUGGAGAAAAUCAGGCUGCUGACAGCAAGAAUGUCAUACUAAUCUGGCAUUUACCUUUUAUUUCAAUUGCAUUUGUCUGCUUAUUCUCUUCAUAGAAUUCAUAAAUGUAUGAUCUUUAUAAAAUGUAAUAUGAAUAAUAUUCUGAUUGCUAUUUAUUUUAGUAAAAAAGGAUAAUAAAACUUGCACUAGGGGGAUAUUAAAAAGGAUAUUAGGAGAUUAUAGAAUAAUGAUAAAGCAAAAGUUGCUGCUGCUCAGGCAGAUAGUAGCCAUGCAAAGGAAAUUGGAGGAGUCUCAUAGAGGAAAAAAAAAAGAAAGGGGACAGUGGUGUAAAGAGAUGGAUUAAAUUCAGCAAGGCUGGCAUCAGUUUUCAAUGAGGAUUGCAGCAGAGGCCUCUCUGACCUAUAGAAAUAAAUAGUUGAGCAUUGAACUGAGUAAAAAAGAUUCUACAAGUUAAAAAAGAGGGAAAUAGGAUAUUCUCCAUCCCAGAGCUUUGGCUCAAGGUGUCAAAGAUUUAAUUUUUUAUUUUAAAUGAACACUCAAUCAAAAUGCCAUAAAUACAAUGACCACCAAAAAGCAAAUUAAUGGGUUUUUUUUUUUAGGAGAAAUAUUAAAAAACAAAUUUUAUAAAUAUUGCAUCCUGUCAUCUGACCUCAGAAUGCACAGAGUUCUGAAACCUGACAAAAAAAUUUAAAGCCGUGACCAAUGGUAUAUGACAGACUGAAUCAAGAUACAUGGGUUUUUUUCAGAGAUGAGAAAGUAGUACACUUUUCAUCCACUUACACUUAGAGCACAGUAUUUGAUUUCUACCACCAGAAAAAAAAUCACUAUUUAAACUGAAGGAGACAAGAUUUAAAAAAAAAAAGGGGGGGGCAGAAGGCAGAGAAACGGCUCAAAGGCCACAGGGCAGUGGGCAGUCAGGAGACAGCCUGGCUGGGGAGGUAGAAAGGAGCAGGUUUGGGGAUGGUGUGUGUGAUUGUGCCAAUGAGCUGCUAUCACAUAACCUGGCAAUUAUUGCUAAGCAUUUGGUACUGCAUGGCACAGACUGUAUUUGUGUAUUCCAGGUGCUUAGCACACAGAGAUGCAGGUGGCAUGUGUGGCUUCUCUGGUGGCAGUGCCACGACUGGCCACAUGGAUGUUUUUCAGGGAAGCCACACAGCUCAGUGGGACCUACUGGCUGAGUCCAGAGCAAUCUCUUAAGCUCAGAGCUACCUCUUGAGCUCCAUGGAGAAGCUGAGGAAUGUCUUGAGACAGGUGAGACACAAGUGAAUCUGAAACAGAGCAGGCCAGCACUGUCACCAGAACAUGGAGUUAGAUGGAUUGCAGGGUCCACAUUGAGCAUUUGAAGAAGUCUUUGUCUGUGCUGCUCAGUUAUUGGCAUCUUUGUGUGACUGGUGUCCCUUAACAAAAUGAGAUGCGCAUCUCCCCAGAUGUUGUCCCUUUCCCACACACUACAACAAAGCAUGAGAUUUUUACUAAUCACUUCACUUGGCUGAACAUGAUGAUUCCAGUGAAUGGCAAAUAGACAGAACAUAACAAAGAAAGGGUUCUGUAAAGCUAUUAGCACUGAGCUUGAAUUUUAAGAAAUGUAAAAACAAGGAAAGGUGGGCUAUUAAUUCCAUCUAAAUGACUGGCCUGAUUUCUAUUCUAAAAAUCUAUUUUAACUCUGUGUAAUCACAAUAUUGCAUUUGUUAGCUCACUGAAAUGUAAUCUUAUUAGUGGUUCAAAAGAUUGCAUUUAAUCUAGCUGAUUAUGCUAGUGCAUCUCUGAGUAGCUAGUUCUCUACUCCUGCGGCUCCUAAUGAACUGACUGUGCAUUAAAUUUCACCAAAUAAAAGUUACUACCUAGCUUAUUCUUAUUUGUUCUAGUGUUCUGCACACAGUAGUUUUCCUUUAGUUGAAGUCUUACGUAAACUUUCUAUUGCUAAAAAGCCACCAAACUCCUUUUAGCGUAUGCUUUCUGUAUGUCAGCAUGAAUUUUCAGUCUUCAUAAUUAACAACAAAUAAACAGGUUUUCUUCCCAUGGAUACCAGUGUAGUUUGUCUCUGCACUAACUCUUGAUUACCUGCUCGAUGAAGAGUGCCUGACUUAGUCAGUAAUGUCACAGAUCUGUUUGCAGAAAGAAAUUAUAGCUGCAAGACAGGCUUUGCAGUGAUUUAACUUUCUUUCAAUGCUUAGUUCUUAUAUUAAUCCCUAUUAAGACAAGUAAUUGUUUACAGAGAGCAGCUUUAAUAGCAGUGGUAAAUUUUUUCACUCUGCCUUUGCUUGUGUAUUGAAAGCCACUCAACUGUGAAAGAUUUCAUUUCCAUCUGGAGACUUGUGCUGAGAAAAAAAGGAAGGUCAUCCCUUGCAAGUGGACAACAAAGGCAUUUCAGGCAGCAAUUGCUGGUUUGCUACAAGUGUUAAAAGCCAGGACAAUAGAGCUGGGGCUGUUUUGGAAAAAGAAAAUGUGGAACAAAAACCCAAUUUUAGCCUGGUUACAAGGAGGUUGCAACAGAAGCCACUGUAAAUACACCUGGACUGAAUUGAGCCAUGCUGUCUUCAAAGAAACAAGCUGUAUCUGGGAAGAAUAAAAAAAGUGUAAGUAUUUGGUACAGCCUUUUCAAAUUGCACUAGCUGAACUAUGACAUCUUUUGCCAUCCCUCACUCAGUACCUAACACCACAGAAAGCUGGGAGAGUGCAGUAUACCCAUCUUUCUGCUGCCCUCCUCGCUACUGGUCUAAUGAACUUUCCUGGAAAGGACGUACUUGCCCCUACCCUCUCCAGAUGAGGCUCAGCCUUGCAGGUCUCUGUGAGAGGGAAGAAUCUAGAGCUGUGCAGUGAUGCUUACACACAUUUUCCAGAUGUUUAUUGCCUGUGUGUUUAAGACUGCAUUUGCUGUGGUAGUUCCUGAAGCUGUUCUAGGUACAUCUUAGGGGAUGAAGAGUUCAACAUUUAAAAGGCAGUUUGCAGUUAAUAAAAAUGGGGAAAGGGAAAAGACUUGGGGGAAUGGGCUGGUUUUCAACUUCGAUGUCCACCUCCACCUACCAGUGUGAGAUAGCCUAAACUGCUCAGCACUUCCCCACAUCGCAGGGGAAUCUUGAUAAUGAAACACUGCCAGAGGGAUGCUCGGUGCACCCUCUGCUCACUUGCUAAGAUGAGGCAUCUGUUAACAGCACUAGAACUGCCCAAAUGCUGAGUCAACAUACACCUACAUUCAGCACCACCAGGAUGUGCUCCCAUGCACAGUGGUUGCAUGGCAUUAAUGUGCAUUUCCAGUGCUCAGACUUUUUUCCAUCCAUCUAUCAAAUUGAGCAUGACCAAGAAGGCAAAACUCAUUACAGCUGUUGUUAAAGUGGUAUAAACCUAGAACUGGAACUAAAGGACGUAAAAUUGCUUGAAUUUAUUGCUUGUAAUUAUUUUGCAGUUAAAACAGAUGCCUCACACUAAAGGGUGAAUAACAAUUUCAUAAUAUCUGUGUGAGCCACCUCAGGCUAAUUUUGUUUCUAGCUUAUGGUGAUGGGGAUAAGCAGCCAAGUCCUGCUUCCAUCUCUGAGCACCCCUGUAUAGAUACUCACUGAAAAUGCACUGAAAAUACUAUCUACUUCCCCCUGAGUGGGGAGGCUGUGAGAUCCAGUGCAGUAUUAUGAUAUUAGCCAUAAGCUGCCUGAGGUCAUGGUUUCCUGACAACCUUACUGAACCAGAGGUUCUCUGUGCCUUAGGAGCAGCUUCAGAUGUAAGCAGACAGCUCAGAAGCUGGAAGAAGGAGCUUCUGCUGUGCUAUCUACAGAGAAACAGCAAGUGGACACAACAAUAACAGCAAUAAUCUCAUUGAACAACAAACCACAGAGAGGCUGAGGCUAGAAGGGAUACAUGGAGGUCCUUCCUGCUAAGUAGGCCGCCCGGGAUCACAUCCAGACGGCUUUUGAGAAUCUCCAAUGACGGAGACUCCACAACCCCUCUGGGAAAACUGUGCCAGUGCUCAGUUACUGUCAUACUAAAAAAGCUCUCAAACUUGGUUUCUAUGUACUGGGUCAGAUACUUAACUGGAACCAUCCCUGCAGUUGAUUUAGUCUGCAGUCCACUCUUCUGUUCUGUACUGAGUUCUUUCAAGACCCUGAAUCUGCCAUUCCCUUCUUGAGGUGUUAUGGGCCUACCCAGGCUGACAAGAUAGAUGGAUGUUUUCAGAGUGGAACAAAACUUUUAUAGAUUUUUUUUUUUCCCCUCUUCCUACCCGUUUUUGAAAAAAUCCCUAAAAAUCACAACCCAAAGUCUGGAUGGCAGCAGCUCUCUGGCCACGGAGAGAAGCACAACUUUCCCAGGCAUGGUCCUGGGGAAGGCUAUGAGAAGAUCAGAGAAUAGAAUGAUAAGCAAUUCUCAUCUUAACUUGCUGUACCUGUUGUUGUGAGCAAGUGGCAUAUGUUAUGGAGAUUUGUUUACCAAAGGGUGGUUUCUUAAUUAGCCAGCGGUGAUGGUGUUUGGACUGGAGGACCAGUCAAGUCCAGCUGUAUCAUAACUGUCUAUAAAAUUAAUGGGUUUCUUAACAAAUAAAGAGAUUGAUCAGCCUUCUGUGAA